AAGAAGACGAAAAAGCCAGGAAAAGGCAAAGAGAAAGCAGCGGAAGCUGAGGAAAAGAGAGCUCGCAGAGAGACCAGAAGCUCUCACCUGAGGAUGACAUCGAUGCCAUUGUGGUACAUGGGGCAAAGGAUUCUGCAUGACAGAUUAGUCCAUGCAUCAAAAAAGAAAAAUAAUGGUAGAGGGAAAUAGUGUGAUUUUAUUUAGGUGGAAUGGAAGGUGGAAGCCAU